UAGGGAAUCUUCCACAAUGGACGCAAGUCUGAUGGAGCAACGCCGCGUGAGUGAAGAAGGUUUUCGGACCGUAAAGCUCUGUUGUUGGUGAAGAAGGAUAGAGGUAGUAACUGGCCUUUAUUUGACGGUAAUCAACCAGAAAGUCACGGCUAACUACGUGCCAGCAGCCGCGGUAAUACGUAGGUGGCAAGCGUUGUCCGGAUUUAUUGGGCGUAAAGCGAGCGCAGGCGGAAGAAUAAGUCUGAUGUGAAAGCCCUCGGCUUAACCGAGGAAUUGCAUCGGAACUGUUUUCUUGAGUGCAGAAGAGGAGAGUAGAACUCCAUGUGUAGCGGUGGAAUGCGUAGAUAUAUGGAAGAAUACCAGUGGCGAAGGCGGCUCUCUGGUCUGCAACUGACGCUGAGGCUCGAAAGCAUGGUAGCGAACAGGAUUAGAUAC
rnacentral:rRNA from 1 species